UACAGGGGGUGCAAACGUUGCUCGGAAUCAUUGGGCGUAAAGCGCACGUAGGCGGCUUCUUAAGUCGGUGGUGAAAUCCUGGAGCUCAACUCCAGAACUGCCUUCGAUACUGGGAAGCUCGAGUCCGGGAGAGGUGAGUGGAACUGCGAGUGUAGAGGUGAAAUUCGUAGAUAUUCGCAAGAACACCAGUGGCGAAGGCGGCUCACUGGCCCGGUACUGACGCUGAGGUGCGAAAGCGUGGGGAGCAAACAGG
rnacentral:rRNA from 1 species